UGGUUUGCCUCACCUGUACAAUUCUUCAAGCUAGAUGCUAUAUGCCUGUUUUACAGAUGAGGAAACUGAGGCAUCUACAGAGAGAGGAAGUGCCUUGCCUUGCAGAUGGCAGUGCCAGUGUUCAAACUCAAGCCUGUCUGACUCAAGAUUCAUGUUCUUUCUGUUGUGUCCACAGCCUUGAUUUAAAGAUGUACCUAUGAAACUGUCACCCCAAUCAACAUGACCUUAGAUCUUACCCAAGAGACUUGUCCAGGAUCAUAUAUCAGGGACCACUGAAUGCCACACUUGUCCUUGAACCUCUGCAACCUCCAGCUGUGCCUGCUGACAAUGAAGACCUGCUGCCUUUGUGCUGACUUCCUUGUUCAGCCCUGAAAGUCCCCCCAAAGCUGUGUGACUAUUCUUUCUUUGUGUACCAGCCUUACCCCAAGGACGGGAGUGUCCAGAGGGCAGGGACUUGCUGUCAUUAUGAGCAUCCUCCAGUCUUCCACACUUGUGCCCAACAGGCAUGAGUCAACUGGGCACGUUGAUGCAUCAGUUCAUUUUUCCUACCAGGAAGCAUUCAGGGGUGUUGCAAGAUGCUUAUACCUUUCAGUUUUGUUUGGGACAGUGGCCCCAGCCCCUGAGCCAACCCCAUUAGGUUCUGGUUGUAGGGCUGGCAGAAACUGGUAGGGGCACUGUCUGCCCCCUGGGGAAUUGUGCUGUUAUACAGGACAGUAGGAGUGGUGAAAUCAGGAAGCCCAGGUCAGAAAGCAAUGAAAUGCUGGCCAGAACACAUGGUCCUAAAAGGGAAAAUCAAUCACACAGUGGGCUCAGAAGAUUUCAGAAAGUGGACCUUGAGGGGAACCUGGGUGGCUCAGUUGGUUAAGCGU